ensembl:snRNA U6 U6 spliceosomal RNA
GUGCUCUCUUUGGUGGCACAUGUGCUAAAAUUGGAAUGAAAAUGAGCAUUGCCCCCUGCACAAGGAUGACACACAAAUCUGUGAUGCAUGACCAUAUUUU